UACGUAGGGCGCAAGCGUUGUCCGGAAUUAUUGGGCGUAAAGAGCUCGUAGGCGGCUUGUCGCGUCGGAUGUGAAAGCCCGGGGCUUAACCCCGGGUCUGCAUUCGAUACGGGCAGGCUAGAGUUCGGUAGGGGAGAUCGGAAUUCCUGGUGUAGCGGUGGAAAUGACGCAGAUAUCAGGAGGAACACCGGUGGCGAAGGCGGAUCUCUGGGCCGAUACUGACGUGAGGAGCGAAAGCGUGGGUAGCAAACAGG
rnacentral:rRNA from 1 species